rnacentral:lncRNA from 1 species
CUGCCAUCCUACUGAGGAAAAAGACAUCAUUCUAAUGUACUGUAAUAAAUUCUGAUCAUGAAAUCAGCCCAUUAGGAAGCACCUCUUGGAGAUCAUGGAUAACAUGCUAGGAAAAUGCAUCCUUUUUUAGUGGGCUUAUCAAAAAUAGUGAUGACGUACAUCUUGCCAAACCUAUUGCAACCUCCCCUUAGCAAGAACAUGUGAAAUGUUUUCAACUGGGAAGUCGGAUACAGAAGCAUCAUCCACAGUUUUUAUUGGGCCGAGUCAAAUAGGGGGCCUCUACCUGGUUGAAUUAUUAAGGGAUAAUUGAUCAUGUCUGUAACUUGCUCUCAAAUGGUUCAGCCAAAUGUCAGAAAUGUCAGAGAGACAGAGAGAAGGAGACAGGAGGAAGGGAGAGAGAAAGAGAAAAAGAGAAGAUAUAGUAAAGGUGGCAAAAUGAUGAAAAUUGGCAAAUGUACGUAAAGGCAUACAGAACUUCGAUGAACGAUUCUUGCAACCUUUAUAUAAUUCUGAAGGCUUUUAAAAAAAUGGCAAGCUUUCAAAUAAAAGCAAUUUAGGAAUUGUU